UUAAAUGGAGCAUGAAUGUCGAAGGAAACGGGGAAAGGGAAAGGAUUCUAGUUCUCUCUCUUCUUUUACUGUUUCCAUUUGCAAAGCUUUGUAUACCGCAUCAACACCAGCGCAUGUUCUCUGUGUGAACCAAGCAAGGAUUCUUUUGAAUGCUAUAGCCAUGGCCUCUCUCUCUUCUAGAGGAUUCUUUUGAAUGCUAUAGCCAUGGUAGAAAAUGGUGAGGUAGCUAAAGACAAUUCUUUUGAAUGCUAUAGCCAU